ensembl:lncRNA
AUGGAUCUCUGCCUCCAUAUUCAUCGGUCGUUCCAGGGAGAAGGUCAGGGGGGGAGGGGAGGGGAACAGCUUGGGUAAACCAACACAGCCCAGGUCUUCAUAGCCGACCUAGCUCUCAAACGUCUCCUGACCCCGUUUCCUCCAACACACUCCGGUUUCCUUCCCCUCGGUUUCGUUUACUUACUCACCGUCUUCCCUUUAGCUAACGCGUGGGAUGAGCCAUGGAUCACACCGCGCCCACCCGGUGUCCAGAAGUCCAAAGAUCAGCCCGGUGCCGUCCAGGACACCCCCUGGGCCAGCGGGCACCGUAGCCGUGAGCUACGUCCUCAGGUGGAGCCGCGACGGAGGAGGGAGGUCGGUUGGCCUUUGGAAGAUUACAUCAGAUCCUAUUUAUACGUACACCGGUAUCAUAAUGAAAACCACACUGUCACCUUUAUAUCCAGAAGAUAUUGACUACGCAGUGAGUAAGGCAUUGGAGCCGUCUCCCUUCAUCGCCGGUGAUGACGGGGAGGCACGAAAGUGUGAUGGCCACCAAGACAAGUUUCAAUUUACACAGCCGUCCGUUAGCUUGGACGUCUUCCUCCACCAAGGCGAUAACCCACUGCUGCACGUGCCACCAUCGUGACCGGAUCUCUGUGGAAACACCUCCUCCUAGGGGCCGUGGACCGGAGCUCUCCGGUGGGACCAGAGCUCUCCGGAUCUCGGUUCCGAAACUCUGCUGAGAAGCUCGGGAUAUCGACCAUACUAAACCCGACAUUGUGACUGCCUCUUAAUAAUGAGAAGUAAAAAAAAAAAAACUCAAACACGAAUUGGUCUUGUCCAAUUUAAAUUGUCUAAGUUCUCAACGGUUAUUUAAAAAAAAAAUAACGACCGCAACAUAACGUUAUGACAGCCUCUUUGGGAGUCUUAAUCACAUAUUACUCAGUUAAUCACCUCCCACACAGCAAGGUCCAUAAACAUUGUCUUGGACCACCUGAUAUCCUGGACAUUUGCCAAUGUUUCUUUUAUUUCUUUUAUCUUUAUUUAUUACAUAUUUCUUUAUUUAUCACAUAGUCCUAUUUCUUGGCCUCCACUUGACAACAUUCCAGCUGUUUUACCCCCGCUCAGCCGUCAAAUAAUAGACGGGCACACUCCUCAGCCAAUGGCGGAGCGCUGCCCGGUGUCUGCUCGCU